AGUGAACGCUGGCGGUAGGCCUAACACAUGCCAGUCGAACGGCAGCACAGUAAGAGCUUGCUCUUACGGGUGGCGAGUGGCGGACGGGUGAGGAAUACAUCGGAAUCUACUUUUUCGUGGGGGAUAACGUAGGGAAACUUACGCUAAUACCGCAUACGACCUACGGGUGAAAGCAGGGGAUCUUCGGACCUUGCGCGAGUGAAUGAGCCGAUGUCGGAUUAGCUAGUUGGCGGGGUAAAGGCCCACCAGGCGACGAUCCGUAGCUGGUCUGAGAGGAUGAUCAGCCACACUGGAACUGAGACACGGUCCAGACUCCUACGGGAGGCAGCAGUGGGGAAUAUUGGACAAUGGGCGCAAGCCUGAUCCAGCCAUACCGCGUGGGUGAAGAAGGCCUUCGGGUUGUAAAGCCCUUUUGUUGGGAAAGAAAAGCAGCAGGUUAAUACCCCGCUGUUCUGACGGUACCAAAAGAAUAAGCACCGGCUAACUUCGUG
rnacentral:rRNA from 1 species